rnacentral:rRNA from 1 species
UACGAAGGGAGCUAGCGUUGUUCGGAAUCACUGGGCGUAAAGCGCACGUAGGCGGAUGUGUCAGUCAGGGGUGAAAUCCUGGAGCUCAACUCCAGAACUGCCUUUGAUACUGGGAAUCUCGAGUCCGGGAGAGGUGAGUGGAACUGCGAGUGUAGAGGUGAAAUUCGUAGAUAUUCGCAAGAACACCAGUGGCGAAGGCGGCUCACUGGCCCGGUACUGACGCUGAGGUGCGAAAGCGUGGGGAGCAAACAGG